AACGAACGCUGGCGGCAUGCCUAACACAUGCAAGUCGAACGAGACCUUCGGGUCUAGUGGCGCACGGGUGCGUAACGCGUGGGAACCUGCCCUUAGGUUCGGAAUAACUCCCCAAAGGGGGUGCUAUUACCGGAUAUGGUCUCCGACCAAAAGAUUUAUCGCCUUUGGAUGGGCCCGCGUUGGAUUAGCUAGUUGGUAGGGUAAAAGCCUACCAAGGCGACGAUCCAUAGCUGGUCUGAGAGGAUGAUCAGCCACACUGGGACUGAGACACGGCCCAGACUCCUACGGGAGGCAGCAGUGGGGAAUAUUGGACAAUGGGCGAAAGCCUGAUCCAGCAAUGCCGCGUGAGUGAUGAAGGCCUUAGGGUUGUAAAGCUCUUUUACCCGGGAUGAUAAUGACAGUACCGGGAGAAUAAGCUCCGGCUAACUCCGUG
rnacentral:rRNA from 1 species